rnacentral:rRNA from 1 species
GCCUAUACUGCNNUCGAGCGAACAGAAAAGGAGCUUGCUCCUUUGACGUUAGCGGCGGACGGGUGAGUAACACGUGGGCAACCUACCCUAUANUUUGGGAUAACUCCGGGAAACCGGGGCUAAUACCGAAUAAUCUCUUUUGCUUCGUGGUGAAAGACUGAAAGACGGUUUCGGCUGUCGCUAUANGAUGGGCCCGCGGCGCAUUAGCUAGUUGGUGAGGUAACGGCUCACCAAGGCGACGAUGCGUAGCCGACCUGAGAGGGUGAUCGGCCACACUGGGACUGAAACACGGCCCAAACUCCUACGGGAGGCAGCAGUAGGGAAUCUUCCCCAAUGGGCGAAAGCCUGAUGGAGCAACGCCGCGUGAGUGAAAAAGGUUUUCGGAUCGUAAAACUCUGUUGUAAGGGAAAAACAAGUACAGUAGUAACUGGCUGUACCUUGACGGUACCUUAUUAGAAAGCCACGGCUAACUACGUGCCAGCAGCCGCGGUAAUACGUANGUGGCAAGCGUUGUCCGGAAUUAUUGGGCGUAAAGCGCGCGCAGGCGGUCCUUUAAGUCUGAUGUGAAAGCCCACGGCUCAACCGUGGAGGGUCAUUGGAAACUGGGGGACUUGAGUGCANAAGAGGAAAGUGGAAUUCCAAGUGUAGCGGUGAAAUGCGUAGAGAUNNGGAGGAACACCAGUGGCGAANGCGACUUUCUGGUCUGUAACUGACGCUGAGNCGCGAAAGCGUGGGGAGCAAACNGGAUUAGAUACCCUGG